GAUGAACGCUGACAGAAUGCUUAACACAUGCAAGUCGAUGGGGAAGUGGUGCUUGCACCAUGGUAACCAUGGCGGACGGGUGAGUAACACGUAAGGAACUUACCUGCGGGACCGGGAUAACAGCAGGAAACUGCUGACAAGACCGGAUAAGGUCAUUAAGCUGCAUAGCUUAGUGAUGAAAGGAGACGCCUGCGGAGAGCCUUGCGUCCUAUUAGCUAGUUGGAGGGGUAACGGCCCACCAAGGCGAAGAUAGGUAGCCGGCCUGAGAGGGUGGACGGCCACAAGGGGACUGAGAUAAGGCCCUUACUCCUACGGGAGGCAGCAGUGGGGAAUAUUGGACAAUGGGGGCAACCCUGAUCCAGCAAUUCUGUGUGCACGAAGACGGUUUUCGGAUUGUAAAGUGCUUUCAGCAGGGAAGAAGGAAGUGACGGUACCUGCAGAAGAAGCGACGGCUAAAUACGUG
rnacentral:rRNA from 1 species